GUUCAUACGUUCUUUCAUACGUUUAAAUUGUGACACUGCUACACCUUUAAGCAUACCGCAUCUACAAUGUAUUACGUAUAAACAGAAACAUUUAAUAGAAGGUUCCGGGGACAGGGGCAUCAUAGUUGCCAUGAUGGAAUCCAAAAAUUACUAUGACCUAGCUAUGGACUUCCAUACCUCGCAAAAUCAUAACUAUUUUUUUCAUGAGUAGAAACACAUCUUGAUAGAAACAAGAAAAAACAAUCUCCAACGAAAACAGUCAGGUGUGAGUGUUAGUAAUGAGCAAAAUUGUUUUUGGUCUUACAGUCUUGAUUUGGGUCUUGCGAAAAUGCAAGAUUAAGACCAAGACGAACAUUGUCUUUAUACAAGCAAGACCAAGACUAAAACCAGUACCAAACAAACAAGACCAAGAACGAAUAUGUAAAACCA